rnacentral:tRNA from 1 species
CAGAAAUAUAGUUUAAAUAAAAUAUUGGUAUUGGAGACCAAAGAUUAGAAUAAUUCUAUUUUCUGA